GCAGGGGUUCUGGGCAGCUCCUGCCCUGCGGACAGUCAGCAGUUGGUCUGGUGUGAGCAGCAAUUCUCAGAUCACCUCUUGGCUGUGGGUGGUGCAGGGAGCACCCCACCAUGGCAUGG
rnacentral:pre_miRNA from 12 species